rnacentral:SRP_RNA from 1 species
GCUGGAUGUGGUGUUGCGUGCCUGUUGUCCCAGUAACUUUGGAGGUUGAGGUGGGAGGAUUGCUUGAGCCCGGGAGGCUGAGGUUGCAGUGAGCAAAGAUUGUGCCACUGCAUUCCAGCCUGGGCAACAGAGCGAGAUCCCAUCUCAA